CAACUCAUGACAAACCCUUUGAAUUGAUCUACUCUAGGAGGAAUCGUCAUUAAAGACCCCAUGGGAUAAGAAUCCACAAUGGCCAAAACAGGACGACCCCUUACAACAUGAUAUGAAUGAAAUAUAAAACAAAAUAAAAAGCAUAAAAAUAGAAAGAAACAUUAAAUAAAUAAAUAAAAUAAGAAAUAAAUAAAAAUAAGCAAAAAAAGGAACAUGCAAAAACCCUAAAACUGAAGGUUAGGAUGAAAUCUCUUUAGGGAAAGUAUAAGAUAGUCCCC
rnacentral:lncRNA from 1 species